rnacentral:rRNA from 1 species
GAUGAACGCUAGCGGCAGGCCUAAUACAUGCAAGUCGAACGGUAACAUGAGUAGCAAUACUUGAUGACGAGUGGCGCACGGGUGCGUAACGCGUAUGCAAUCUACCUUUAACUGGUGAAUAGCCCGAAGAAAUUCGGAUUAAUACACCAUAGUAUAUUUCUGUAGCAUUACUAGAAUAUUAAAGUCCCAACGGUUAAAGAUGAGCAUGCGUGACAUUAGCUAGUUGGUGAGGUAAUGGCUCACCAAGGCUACGAUGUCUAGGGGAUCUGAGAGGAUUAA